rnacentral:lncRNA from 1 species
AAGUUGAUUCUCAUAUCCGAAGGCAAUCCAUACUUUCCCUCGCUCUCAGGAAUCAGAGCAACUUAACCGUAACCGAUUAACCGUUAACGACAACCUUCAAUGGCCAUGUCUCAGAUGGCGUCCACUCUCGCCUCUCCUCUCUCUUUCCUCCUCCUCCGCCAUUCUCUCUCUCCAUAUAUUCCACGUCAGCAUUCUGUCUCCUCUCCUCUCUCAAAACACCAACACUCGCACCAAAUCCUCUGCGCUAAAAAGAGCAGCAGCAGCAACAACAGCAAGCAGCAGAAGCCAAAAGCACAAACAGCUUCUAGUUCUUUGGGACCCAAAGCUGGGGUUGCCAUUUACAAGCCAAAGUCUUAUGAAGUACUCGCCGCUGAUGCUGCUAACUCACUCGCUUUUGCUCUUCAAGAUGGCAAAACCCGCUUGGAAAUCGACUUCCCGUAAUUACCCUUUUCUUUUUGUUUUUUUUUUAUAAUAAUUCUGCAUUUUUAUGGAAAUUUUUGAAUUUAGGUACUGUAUGCAAUUACUUGAAUUAAGCAGAAGAUAUCCAUUUAAGGCCCAUGUUUGAAUUGGUGUUUUUGAGCUUUUUUUUUUUUUAUUUGAUUACUUAUUUUGGAAGAAGAAUGGCAUAUUAUUUAAUUUUGAGCUGCUCAAAUAGUGAAAGUUCUGUUCUUUAGUGGUUUUAUGAAUACCCAUUUGAUUGGUUCAGCUUCAAAUUGAAUGCUGGCAACACCUUUUUUUUUGUUUUGACUUUGUACCCGUUUCUUUCUAUACUUAUUCUUGAACUUUAAUACUGAAAUCUGGAUGUUGGGGAAUAACAAUCUCAAAUUUUGCGGGUUAUCUUUUGGGAUUAGCUUUGCUGGAUUUCUUUGGAUGUCUUGUUGAGUUUGACAAUGAGCUUACUAUUUAAAGGGAAUUUUAUGUUCACGUUUAAUUGGUUACCUGUGGGUUGCUUGGUUUUGAGUUCGCGUGAGUUAAUUUAGUACAAAAACUGGGUGGUUUUUCGGAUUUGAACAUUUUCAAUAAAUUGUCCUCCCACUUGUUUCUUAAAAAUUGGGUGGCAUUUCGUAUUUGAGGAUUUUUCCUAAUGUCUGUCUUGUUCUUAUUUUGGAAUUGUAAUUAUCUAGCAAUAAUGAUAAUACUGCUUUUUAGUUUUGGAUUGUUCAUAUUCCUCAUUAAGUUGGGAUUUUGUAAUCAAUCAGUUCCUAAUCAAGAACAAGUUUGAAAAAAAAUAGUGAAAUAUUAGAACAUUAUUAUGAAGCUCUUUGGAAAAAGAUGGGAUUUGAUUGCAUGAAUAGUGGCAAGCAGUGUGUAAACUGGGCUGCAUGAUGGUGAUGAUAUGACACCUAAGGUCAGAAAACCUUUUUGCAGUUGUAAAAAUAAUGUUAUUUUUUGUUUGGGGAUACGUGUCAUGGACUCCAACACUGAACUUUCCCAUUAGCCCCUCAUAAAAAUUAAAAGAUAAUAAUUAUGUUUUUCAUUAUUGUCAAUCACUUAUCUUUAUUUUUCUCUUCUCCAGGCCCUUACCAAGCAACAUUUCCUCUUAUAAGGUACCUCUUUGAUCUCCUAAGUUCCUUAGAAAGUUUACUGAACCAUUUAUAAUUGAUCAAGGUGCUGAUGUUUUGAUAGCUUUCUGCAAAUUUUUGACUGGUUUUAUGUAUUGACCAGUUUCCGUUAUUAUAUAUAGUUUAGGUUUUAGAAUCUCAUUUUAUGAUUUUUAGACGAUAUGCAUGAAUGAUUUUGGUACUGGAAGGAAUUUUGCAGUAUUAAUGCAAUUUUAUUUACAAGUAAAUUUGUUUGUCCGUGAAAAUAUUAGUUCAGCAGAUGAUUUUUACAAAGAAAAGAAAUAGAACAUGUACAUGCCUUUCUUGAAAUCCUAUUUAUGUGAAGGGGUCUUCAGAUGAGUUCAUAGAUGCCAACAUUCAACUUGCAUUGGCUGUUGUCAGAAAGCUCCAAGAAAGAAUGGAAACCAGAGCUUGCAUCGUAAGAAGAAAGUUCCUUUCAUAUAAACUUUUGAUACUCCAAUUGGAUAAAUGACUUGAUGGAGUUUGUCCAAUCUCAGGUGUUUCCUGAUAAGCCAGAAAAGGGCAGGGCCUCUCGGCUUUUCAAAAGAGCUCUUGAUUCUGUAAGUAUACACAUUCUGACCAGGUUACAUUUUGUUUUGUUGCACUUUAGCAUUGUGCUAGGUUCCUUUUGGUUUUCUGCUUUUUUUUUUUUUUAUCUUUUCAAUCUGCUCCUUACAUCCACCAACAUCAUUAUAUGUCACAUCUGGUUUCUCUUCCACAGUCAUCAUGGUUACACUUGGAUCAAUUUUUGGAGGCAAGGGAAUUUGAAUUUGAUAUUUAUUCCGGUCAACCCUGGAAUGGUCAGUAUGAAAUAAUAUUAUUCCAUUAGUAAAUUUUUUUUCCCUAUUUUUAGGCAAUUAAAUUCAGUUAAACACCAAUGCAGUGUAGAAAAAAUUAGAUUGUACAUCAAUUCCAAAAGAAAAUUGAAUAACAUACAAAAUAGAAUAUGAAGAACAACCCAAGUAUCCACUGGUUUGCUCAAAUCUUGUAAUAUGUUAUUGACAUAAUUAUUAUUGUUAUUAUUAUUUGAAUAGAAUUGUAAUAUAUAUUUCACUCUCCACUUAUUAGUAUGAUUACUUGAUAUUCUCAUCAUUUACUACAUCAAACCAUAAAUUCCAUUUUAUCAAAAUAUCUCCUUCCACUUUCAAACAAAAUCAUCAAUCAGAGACAUCUGACAGCCAAGUAUGUACACUUCGAAUUUUCCAACUAACUCUAUUUACAUUGAUCCAAUAUAGGAAACCCAGAUUUACAGUUCAGCGUAACACAUAAACAUUCCAUAUGUACUAUGAAUUAGGAAUAGGACAGAAAAGGAAAUUAAUAAAACAAUAGAGUAUAGAGGCUCAUCACGAUAAUUCUAGGCAAAAUUCAUUCAAAAGCACAAAACUCACCCCACACGCAUCCCUUCUUCAAUAUCAGUAGGGGAAACUUUGUCACCAAGCCCAACAACAAACUGAGUUGAGAUAGUAAAAAGUUAUGUUAGACCCAACAUGCACAAAAACAACAUUAUAAUCAAAGGCUGAUCAUACAAUUUGCACAAAAUUGAUGCGAGACAAUCCAUAGCAUCUAAAAAGGACUAAGUAUUACAUCUGCACAUUAUUUCAGACCAGAAACUUUAGGAGAAUGUUCAUAAAAAAGAAAGAGUUACUAGUUCCAGUAAACAUUUAAUCAUUAAUCAAAAUGGUAAAUUUUAUAUAUAGAAAACAUUGAUAUAGAAAAAGAAUAAAAAUUACACACAAAAUAUGUUCACAAGAACUAAUAAAUUACUGGUAAAAAAGGACAUAGGAAAUAAAAUAUACCUUGGCAAUUUGCUUAACAUUUAUUACAUAUUUAGAAUCUUCAGAAUUUGGAUUGAUAAUCUUGGUGCAUCUCGCAACCUAAGCCGCAAAAUCAUUCAAUAAGUUAGAAACAAGAAUCCAAAAUAUUUUAUUAAACCUUAUAAAAAAGUACAAUACCUGAAGAGGCUGCUCCUCUUGCAUCAUCUGCUUAUCGGAUACAAGAUCCCACUGGCUGGGUGCAGCUAAGCCUGUGUCAGAUUCCUUGAUACCUAUUACAGGACAGAAGUGACAUGAUCUCAUUAAACAGAAUCAGGGUUUUGUCCCAUAAAAUGACACAUACCAAAUGAGUGAUGCAGAUGUAAUUAUAACAAAGUUCUAUACCACACAAGUCGUUGACUUUCUUGGCCAUGUCCUUAAUCUCCUUCUCUGCUUUCUUUAUGCUAGUAGAAUACGGUCCUAAACCCUGCAUAAACAAUUUCAUGCGACACAAAUAUCAGCCAUCACUGGUGAUUAUUACCAUAACCAAUGAAUGACAGACAAAAAAUUAGAGUUCAAGAAAGAAAGAAUCCAUACAUAUGUUUUAAGCAGCGCAAUGUCAUCUUCAUCAAGGGGUCUGGGAUUCUUCUCAUCCUUGAUCUCAUCUUCUGGCUCGGGUGCCAUUGUUUUAUGAAUUUCCUGAUUGCUUGCAAGUUCCGAGACCAAAUUAAAUCAUAUAUAAUUUCAUGGAUUAAAGAAAACCCAAAUUAAAUACAAUUCAUAAUCAGCAGAGGUUUUCGAAAAGUUUCUCAAUCACCCAUUCUAGUCUUGAAAAAUUAAAAUCACCCAACAAAAGGACUAACAUUUAUAUAACCAUGAAAAUGAUAAAUAUCAUUUGACAAAACUUCUUUUUCCCCUUUGUUUAUAUAAUUAAGUAAUUUUUUCUUCUACAUUAAUGAUAACUAACACAAAGCAUAAAUAAUACAUCAUAAAUUUUUAAUAGUUACGCAGAACUGCUCACUCUCUACUUAACAAAAUAAAUAGAAUAUUAUUUGUGAUAUAGAAAAUUAACUCUUUAACUCUGUACAAUUUUUUUUUCAUAAACCCUAAUUAAAUCUUAAACGGCAAACGGCAAACCAAAACCGUAAAACGUUAAAAACAAAAUUACAAGAACGAAAUAGUUGAUUGAGAUUUGAGAGCUGAUGUGUACCUAGAGAGGAAGAUUGGGCGUUGAAAACCGUCGGCGAGGUCUUUCUGAGGAAACGGUGUCGUCGAGGCGUUUGGCUUGAAAGAGAGGCACGACCGCACGAGUUUCCUUAAGGUGGUAGGAUCCGAUCUAUGAUGACGAGUUUCUUUAUCGGGUCAGCCGGUCAGGUAUUCACAAUUUUUGUUAAAGUUUCAUAUUGCCCCUGUUUUUAUGUUUUCACUGAAUUUCCCGUUUUCAUUUUUGUUUCCGCAAUAAAGUUUCGGCGGUCAUAUUGUAAAGUGAAAAACACAUAUAAUACAUGAUUAAUUUGACAAUAAUACAAAAAAAAGAGUUAUACAUGUUUUACUUAUUCCACAAAACAUACUCUAAAAUAUAUUACGAGGCAGUUUUUUAUGCGCUCGUCAAUGUUUAAUAAAAUUACAAUUCAUCUUCCUCUGAAGAACCAAAUCUCUAUUGUAAUUUGUAAGUAAUUUUUUUUUCCUUUUCAUUAUUGAUCUCUUUGUUUAUGAAAAAAUAACCAACAAAUACACACUCACUAUUUUUUAUUACAUUCAAUUUCAAACAAAUAUUGCUGUUUUUGUUUUCAAAAUACAGACACAUUAAAAUUCAAAAUCAACAAGUAAGUAAAAUUCCAGUUUCAUGCUCAUUUAUUUUAUGAAAAAUACCAAUUGAGAAACAAUAUUGAUGCACCUCAGAAUCUCAAUAUGUCCAAAUUAAUCAAGGCAGUAGUUUUUCCUUUGAAAUUUAAAUAAACCUGAAUUAGUUUGAAUUCUGAAUAGAAUUAAAUUUUUUAAUCUAAAUGAUGUAUUUAUUUUUUUUAUGUGAAUCUUUGAUAACAAGUAUUAGGUUGUUUGUUUUUUUUUUCAUCUUAAAGGUUUAAAAGACAGUACUUUUACAUUUGUGCGCUUAUAAAUUUUAAAUGCUAGAUAAACAAUAAAUAUUUUAAGGAACAUAAAUAAGAGUUUUUUAUCAUAAUAUAAGUCGUAUUCAAUUAAAAGCAAACCUUUAAUAUUCUAAAUUAGAGCAUGUUAAUCAAUUUUAUUAUAGUUUAUAAUGUAUUAUAUGAAAAAUAUUAAAAAAUGUAAAUAUAAAUAAUGUUAAUUUGAAUAUAUAAAAAGAUAAAAAUAAUAAUAAUCUACCACUAUUUUUUCAUUAUCAAAACUUAUGGAGAUGAAUAAUAAUGCUAAUUGGUAAGUUUUUAUUUAAACAAUGAUGAAAAAUAAUUAAUUAGAUAGGGUCAUUUUUGGAGAGUAUUUUUUUGAUAUUAUUCAAACUUUUUAGAUUAAGUAAAAAGUUUUAAAAAAAAUUGGCUUAAUAACUUAAUGACUUAAUCACUAAAAUUUUUCAUUAAAUUGAAAAAAAAAACAAAUUUAAUAACUUAACUUAUUAAAAUUAAGUUAAUUAGGUUAUUAAAUUAAAAAAAAAAACAAAUGCACCCUAGGACAGAUCUACAUUCUACACGCAUAAAAAUGACUAAGAAAAAAUGCCACACAAAGGAGAAGCAUGGAUUGGGUAGGCAUAGCAAGCCACAAGCAGUGAGGGCAUUAGAUAAGAUAGUACUUAUUUGGUAUGAUAAAUUAUCUCAGAACGACGAGUAUAGUGCAAUACAACCCCCUCCCAUUUUACGUUUAAAUGUUAAGUUCUCAAUUCUAGCUCCAAAGUUUUCAUUUUCAAAUAACUAACUUAUGAUAUAUUAUGGAUAAUGUAUCAUAAUUAGGUGAUUAACGAUAAAAAUUUUGAAGACCUAGAAAAAAAAUUAGAUAUAGACCAAUUUUGAUAUCUUAUUAAUUUGUUGUUAAGAGUAAUUAUAUCUUCAACUCCUCAAGAAUAUUGAAAAUAUAAUUGACCAUCACAAGCUUUUAAUAAUAUUUCAUAAGUACUUUAAGUUUUUGUUUUACAUCAACCAUUAAUUUUUUCGUUAAUUUCAUUAGCUACUGUUAAAUUAUUUAAGAUAAAAAACUAAUUUACCCUUAGGCUACGUUUGGCUGCUGGGACAAAGGCAAGAUAAGACUAAUUUUUAAGACUAAAAAUAUUAAUCCUAUCCAAAGCCGUUGUAAAGAAUAAAAAAUAAGCCCAAUUUUUUAUCCCAGAAUCUUGGGAUUAUUAAUCUCCUUUUUUAGGUGGGUUUAUCUUGGAUAAAAAAUCUAGGGAAACCACAAUCCUCUCUUUUCUUUCAUCAACCCGAAAGCAAACCCAAUUAGAAUUACUCUCAAACAAAUGCAGACCACGCACAUCUUCGUUCCUCAACGAAUCUUGAUUCUCUAAAAAUGGGGUUAGAUGAUCUGAGCAACAAUCAAAGGUAUUCAAAAUAUUAUCUGAAUUGGUUCUUAUCUUCCAAUUAAAUUGGAUCUUCCAAUUAAAUUGGGGCUUCAAGUAUGGAUCUUAAAAUUGAUUUUUUUUCCUUUUUCUUUUAUAGUUGGCUUGGUUGCAAGAAUUGAAAACUCACCGUUCUCCUUCAAUCGGUGAGUGAAUCUACAUGCUUUCCCUAGUUAAAUCUCAAUUAUUUUGCUUACCUUUUCCAAACUUACUGUAACAUUCCUUUAAUUUUUGCAUUGUCAAUAUAUAUUGUUUGGCUAUUAGUGGGUUUUUAUUAUUUUCUCCCUCAUAACAGUUUUGUUUCAUUUGGGUCUUAUUAUUAUCAAUUGUCCAUUACUUUGUUCUCUUUAUUUUAUUUUUAAUUAACUGAAUUAUGAAGACAUGUCACUUGCCCAAUUUAUUUCACUAUGUCAAGUGCACUAUCCAAUUUGUGCUUGAUUAUGAAAAUUAAUUGAAUUAUUUUUACUAUAUAUAAGCAAGGAUUGAAAGUCCAUUCACCUAUACGGCUGGUGGGUUUUUAUUAUAUAUAUGCACAUGGAUAACAUGUUCCACAUUACCCGUGUAUCAUCACAUGCAUACAUUUGUUAUUGAUUGUUUGCUUAUCUAUUUUCUUUAUUUUAUUUUUAAUUGCAUAAUUACAAACCUUAUGAUGAAUAGAUAUGAACGAAAGACAAAUUUUGUUAUUCCUACUUAGAAACGAGUUUUGCAAACAGAAGUUGGUUGUCUGCAUUAUGAUAGUUGUUAUCUUGCACCAUAUAAUAACAAGCUUUCAUGAAAAAUAUGUGCUCAAGAAUCACACUUUUGCUAGGCAUCAAACUCGUCUUCAAACUCUAGAUGACAUGGUAGGCAAUGGUGAUAUAGAAUGUGUGAAUCAACUUAGGAUGGAUAUAAGAACUUUUGGGUUAUUAUAUGAACUACUUCGUAGUGAUGGGAGGUUGAAGAUGGAUAUUGUAGUUUCUAUUGAUAAGCAGGUUUGUAUGUUCGUACAUGUAGUUGCACAUCAUGUGAAAAAUCAAAUAAUUAAUAAUCGCUUCAAGCGUUCUGGAGAAACAAUUAGUAGAUUUUUUUAAUUCUAUUCUUAAUAGAGUAUUGCGACUACAACACAUCUUGCUAAAAUCUCUAGAACUUGUGUCUGAACAUUGCACAAAUGGUAGAUGGAAAAUUUUCAAGGUAUGUUGUACCUAAAUUUUAAGAUGUCAUUUACAAUUAUAAUAUGACCUUGUGUACUAGUGUUAUUCAACUUAAUAAUUUUUGUUGAUAUAGAACUAUUUGAGAGCAUUAGAUGGAACCUACAUCAAGGUUCGAGUACCUAAAAUUGAUAAACCAAGAUAUAGAACAAGAAAAUGUGAAAUUGUAACAAAUGUCUUGGGGGGUUUGUUCACAAGAUAUGAUGUUUAUAUUUGUGUUACCGGGGUGGGAGGGUUUAGCUUCUGAUUCUAGAGUACUUCGAGAUACGAUAUCUAGGUAAAAUGGAUUAAAAGUUCCAACUGAUAAGACUAUUUUAAUAGAUUUAGAAUAGUCAGCCUUAAACUAAUUAAAUUUUUCUUAAUCCUAUUUUACCUUCUCAAUGUCUAGGUUGUUAUUAACUUGUGGAUGCUGGGUACACAAAUGGUGAAUGAUUUUUAGCACCAUAUAGAGGAACAAGUGAUAACUCUAUGAAAUUAGAGUUAUUAUGGCAAUUCUAGACUUAAAUCAAGACCACUUUGAGAGUAAAUGAUGUGUUUUUAUUAUAUUUUGGUUAUGUUUUGCAUAAACAUCCAUUUUAGCUUAGUCUUAAUAAGUUUUGCUUGAUUUAAAGUAAUUUGUACUCAAAACAUGUGCAUAAUUGUAGGUUUUUAGAAGUUUAUAAUCCAUGAAGCGAUGCUGAGAUAUGAGGCUAGCAAGAAGAAGAAAGAAUAUGGCCACAAAAGAAGUGAAACACAACAGGGAACAGUGCAGUGUUAUAGCUGUUGCUGGAGCAACCAUUGCUGUAGCAAUCUUAGAACAACGAGGGAGAAAACUUAGCGCGGGUUAGCUGCAGAAUUGCGAUCUGCAGUUUCCUAAUUCGACUCAUAUACGCCAUAGGCUUUUGUUUACCCUAGUUUUCAGUUAUAAAAAGGGACGUGCAUCACAUAAAACGGCGGCAAGAAAUUAUCAUUGGAAAAGAACAAGAGAAAAAGAAGAAGAAGAUCAUAAUUGAAGGGAACCGAUGCAGCAUCAUUAAAGAAUCCAUCAGAGAUAUUUGGAUUCACUUUUUGUCGUUCUCCACUUAUUUUUUCCUUCACUCUUUGAUUGAACCGAUGUAUUUCGUGACCAAUAUGUUGAUGUUUGUUUUUCUCUUUCAAAACAUGAACUAAACUUGCUUGUAGUUGAGUGACAAACAAUCUAAUGAGUUCUUGACUGUUCUUAUGAGUUGCUAUAUAAUUGCUAUAGCAUUUUACUCUAGUAGCUAUUAUUAUAAUUGUUAUUUCGGUUGACCACCCAUUUAAUGGUUCGAGUUAAGAUAGAGCCGCAAAAUGGCAUGUCUUAGUAGAUAUUAUUAGAGUAAUACUUGAUCUUAAUUUAAGUUUCCUAGAUUAAGUUUAUCUUGAAUCUUAUAAGGGUUAUACUUGAAGUUAAGAUUUGUGACAAACUAGACAUAGGUACUCACCUUGUAGGGUGAAGAUAAUAGAUGUUCAUAAUGUCAUGCCGUAGGUAGAAUAGCAACUGGUCAUUACUAAGAUACUUAAGGGUAUGAGAAUUCCAACAAGCGACAGCUAAUGAUGCAAAAUAAGUCUGCCCAGUGCUAUAGAAAUUAUUGUAGCAACUGGUGUUAAUUUGAUGAAAAGCAGUCAACCCAUAAAAGAGUUUAAUCAUUCAACUACCUUAUUCUCAUUUUAUUCUUUUAUGCAAUUUAUUUAGUUUGUUUCACCACUGCAUUAUUUCAUUUUAUUUCCUUACAAUUAUAAAUUUCGGUAGUAAACAACUUCACAUUUGUUCAUUUGAAAUAAAGGUAGAUUGCACUAUUGUGAUUGUUGUAACAUUUCUAGUAACAUCAAUCAUUGUGGAGACGAUCUUGAAUACGCAUAACUUUAUUACUUGUUGUGUACACUUGCACAUUGACAUCAAUAGCAUUUGAUUAAAAAUUCACCAACAACAAGAUAUCAUUUAUUAGAGUGGAGAGAUGGGUGUACUCCUGUUAAUUAUCAAGAGUAUUUCAUAUAUGAAGCAUGCUUUAGCAAGAAAUGUAAUAGAACGAUUUUUUGGACUUCUUAAGAGGCGUUGGGCAAUCUUACGAAGUUCAUAUUUCUAUCCUCUAAAAACACAAUGUAGAAUAAUAACUACUUGCUGCCUUUUACAUAAUCUUAUUAGAAGGGAAAUAUCAGCUGAUCCAAUGGAGUGUGAUAUAGAUGACUUUGACCUUAGUACCAAUUCGGAGGACCGGGAAACCAUUAGCCAAGUAUCAUUAUCUGAGCAGUGGACUGCGUGGAUGGAUAAUUUAGCAUUACAAAUGUUUAACAAUUGGAGGCGAAAUAGAGGAAUUUGAAGUUUCAGUUUAAGUUUUUAAUUGUAUUUGAACUUUAUAUUUUGUUAUUAUGUAAUGUCAUAUGAUUUAACACUUUUAUGUUUUAUAAAAAUCAGUUAUUUUAUUUUAUAAUGCUUAUUUUUUCAUUAUUCUUAUCUAUUCCCGUUAUUUUAUAUCUUAUUUCACUGUGAAUGUAUAUUUUCUCUUUAAUACAUGAAUUAUUAUUCUUAUAUAGGGAUGGAUGGUGUAACUACUAAUCAAAAUAAUGAAAAAGAUAAAAAGGGGACAAGACUUGCAUGGACAAAAGAAGAAGAGGAACCUUUGCUGAAUAUAUUGGAGGAAAUGGUAGCACGCGGAUUUUAUGCUAAUUGUGAGCAACUAAAACCAAGUGCUAAUAGGCAUAUUGAAGAACAAUUGGCAAAGUUACUUCCUAAUGUUGGCCUAAAAGCUAGCCCACACGUGGAAUCUAAAAUGCAAAAUUGAAGAACAACUAUGGAGUAGUGUUUGAUAUGCUUAACACAAGUGGCUUUGGUUGGAAUGAUGAAAAAAAGUGUGUUGAAGUUGAUAGUGAUGAGGCAUGGCAAUCCUAUGUGCAAGUGGUUUUUUUUUUCUAGUGACCUUUAAUAAGAUUUUUUUUUUCUAGUGACCAUUGGUAAUUGAUAGAAUUCUUGUUUUUUUUUUCCUUCAUUUUAGCACCAUAAGAAUGUUGAAGGGUGGAGGAACAAACCAUUUCUGAUAUAUGAGAGGUUUGCAUAUACUUUUGGAAAAGAUCGUGCGACUAGAAAAGAAGCUGAAACUCUUGUUGACAUGAUAGAGAAUGAAAAUGAAGACGAUCUUGAAGUUGGGUCUGAGAUUGGUGAAGGACUAUCUCCCAUGUCAAUGGACCAAGGUCAAACAAAAUCAUUUAAAAGGAAAUGGGCUACAUCAACUGAUCUAUUGGUUGGAAACUUGGAAAAGUUUGCAUACAUAUUUCAGGACGUGAUGGAAAAGUCAAAUCAAAAUGUGAAUAAUCUUCUUGGUAAGCUAUCAAAUGAAAGUAUCAAUUCAAAAGUUGUUGCUAACAUGUUGAUAAAAAUGAACCUUUUACUACAUCAAAGAGUUAGGGUGCAAAAGAUGUUGCUAAAACAACCAGAACAUGCAGAAAUAUUUAGGACAAUGCGAAAUGAUGAAGAAAGAAAGGAGUUUCUUGAAGAACUUAUCUUAGGUGGGAAUGAUGAUUGAUUAAGGGUGGUAUUUUGGGAUCCUUUUUGUACAAAAGAUUAACCGUAUAUGGUAGGUCUAUGAACCUGAUGAUGACAAAUUUUUUUGUAACUAAUCAUAUGAAUUAUAUUUUGUUUGUGGGUGAUUCGAAGCUAUUUUUAACAAAUGAUAUCUACCAUCUUUUUAUAAGUAUUUAACCACAUGUUAAAGUGACUUAACGAUGAACAUGUAUGAUAUAUCAAAUACUUUAUAAAUAGUUGUUUUGUUGUUAUCUUAUGUAAUUAAAUAUAUUAUAUGAGAAAGUAUAUAUUGUUUAGAUUGAAUUGUUGCUCUAUAGUUUGUGGAAUUUAUAUUUUUCGAUAAUUUUAUAUAGUGGAAGUUUUGUUUAUAUAGGUCGUUGCAUAUUAAGAUGUGAAAUAUUAUUGAAUUAGGUGCUGUUUUUUCUUUUUCUUUUAAUUGAUUUCAUUUAUAGAAGGCAAAUUUUAUUUAAAAGUUAUUUUCAAAAUUUAAGUAUAGUGCAUUUCACUUAAUUUUCAUAUUAAUUAUUAUUAUUAUUAUUAUUUAGUCCUGUAAAAUGCCAAACAUAGGAUAACACUAUUAUAAUCUUAUCUGACAUGCAUCAAACAAAAGACAGUACUAUAUUUAAUGUAGUGAAAUCCAAUAUAAUCUUAAAAACUAAUUCAAUCCAAUCUUGUCUUCCAAACAUAACUUUAGAGUCUACUAAAACAUUAUUAUACUCAUUUACAUGAAUUCAAGGAUAAAAUAAAUAUUUUAUUUUAAAUUUUUCUUUACAGUGUUUAACAGUUAUAAUAGAAAGUUGGUUGGUUGAUAAAAUAAAAAUUUAUGGUGAUUUUAAAAUAUUAUUAAAAACUCGUAGUGACUAGCAGUAUUUUUGAUAUUCUUUUCUUGAGGGAUAAUUUGCCAUAUACUGCACUAUUAUGCAUAAUUUUCGCUCAAAAAGUUUUAAUUUUUUAUAGCAACAACCAAGACUUUCAUCUUAUAUGGAAAGAUAUCACCUAAUUUAUAUCAAAUUGGUUGUUCAUUCUGUUUAGAACUUUCUUUCACAAUAAAAUCCAAUUUAACAAAAUAAAUAAAUAAAAUAAAAACAAGAUUGACUAUAAAAUGAACACGUGUAGCAAUCCUAGCGUUGAAGUUGAUUCUCAUAUCCGAAGGCAAUCCAUACUUUCCCUCGCUCUCAGGAAUCAGAGCAACUUAACCGUAACCGAUUAACCGUUAACGACAACCUUCAAUGGCCAUGUCUCAGAUGGCGUCCACUCUCGCCUCUCCUCUCUCUUUCCUCCUCCUCCGCCAUUCUCUCUCUCCAUAUAUUCCACGUCAGCAUUCUGUCUCCUCUCCUCUCUCAAAACACCAACACUCGCACCAAAUCCUCUGCGCUAAAAAGAGCAGCAGCAGCAACAACAGCAAGCAGCAGAAGCCAAAAG